ACACAUGCAAGUCGAACGAGCGAGAGAGAGCUUGCUUUCUCGAGCGAGUGGCGAACGGGUGAGUAACGCGUGAGGAACCUGCCUCAAAGAGGGGGACAACAGUUGGAAACGACUGCUAAUACCGCAUAAGCCCACGGGUCGGCAUCGACCAGAGGGAAAAGGAGCAAUCCGCUUUGAGAUGGCCUCGCGUCCGAUUAGCUAGUUGGUGAGGUAACGGCCCACCAAGGCAACGAUCGGUAGCCGGACUGAGAGGUUGAACGGCCACAUUGGGACUGAGACACGGCCCAGACUCCUACGGGAGGCAGCAGUGGGGAAUAUUGCACAAUGGGGGAAACCCUGAUGCAGCGACGCCGCGUGGAGGAAGAAGGUCUUCGGAUUGUAAACUCCUGUUGUUGAGGAAGAUAAUGACGGUACUCAACAAGGAAGUGACGGCUAACUACGUGCCAGCAGCCGCGGUAAAACGUAGGUCACAAGCGUUGUCCGGAAUUACUGGGUGUAAAGGGAGCGCAGGCGGGAAGACAAGUUGGAAGUGAAAUCCAUGGGCUCAACCCAUGAACUGCUUUCAAAACUGUUUUUCUUGAGUAGUGCAGAGGUAGGCGGAAUUCCCGGUGUAGCGGUGGAAUGCGUAGAUAUCGGGAGGAACACCAGUGGCGAAGGCGGCCUACUGGGCACCAACUGACGCUGAGGCUCGAAAGUGUGGGUAGCAAACAGGAUUAGAUACCCUGGUAGUCCACACCGUAAACGAUGAUUACUAGGUGUUGGAGGAUUGACCCCUUCAGUGCCGCAGUUAACACAAUAAGUAAUCCACCUGGGGAGUACGACCGCAAGGUUGAAACUCAAAGGAAUUGACGGGGGCCCGCACAAGCAGUGGAGUAUGUGGUUUAAUUCGACGCAACGCGAA
rnacentral:rRNA from 1 species